rnacentral:rRNA from 1 species
GAUGAACGUUGGCGGUGUGCCUAAUACAUGCAAGUCGAACGAAGACUGUAGCAAUACUGGCUCAGUGGCGAACGGGUGAGUAACGCGUUGGUGAUCUGCCUUGAAGUGUGGAAUAACGUUUCGAAAGGAACGCUAAUACCGCAUGUGCUCUCGAUUUUCAGAAAGUUGAGAGUAAAGGAUUUAUUCGCUUCAAGAGGAGCCUGCGUCCCAUCAGCUGGUUGGUAGGGUAACGGCCUACCAAGGCUAUGACGGGUAGGGGACCUGAGAGGGUGGCCCCCCACAAUGGAACUGAAACACGGUCCAUACACCUACGGGUGGCAGCAGUAGGGAAUAUUAGAAAUGGACGAAAGUCUGAUCUAGCAACACCGCGUGUGCGAAGAAGGCCUUCGGGUCGUAAAGCACUUUUUGGAAGGAAUAGGAAGGAAUGUACUUCCAGAAUAAGUCUCGGCUAACUACGUG